GUCUUCGUGGUGUAGUGGUCAGCACGAUUGCCGCGUAUUCCAGAGGUCUGUGGUUCGAGUCCCGGCGAGGACA
rnacentral:tRNA from 1 species